GUGUUAACGGAUUGACAGGUGGAGUGGAUGUAUGAGCAUGGUCAAAAGGGUGAAUGAAGGUACAAGAACACUUGGGCCAUAAGCCCAAGCUCUAAAAGAACGUUGCAUAUGCCAAAACCUGGAUUUCGAAUUUCCUUCACCCUCGAACGCAACCAAGGGCAAGCAAAGAUAGAAGAUUCAGAAUCAAAUACCAAACUCGAAUCAACGUCCAGAAACGACGGCUAAUUGACGAAAUCGGUUCUUACUUGGGAACCCAAAACCAAUUGAAGAAUGACGAACCUACUCGAUUUGCGAGUCGUGUGCAUUAUGUUGCCGUUGAAGAUGACGAGGAAUCAUCGUUGUUGUUGUUCGUCGCGGAGUAUCGGUGAUUGAGAAUAAUCGUUCUAUUUGCUCUUCGAUCCAUUCUCUGCUCGUGAUGGAGAGAUUAUGCUCGUGUUGAUUCUUCCGUCGGUGUUGUUGUGGUGCGUGGACGACCGUCGUCGCAUUGAGCUGAAGAAGGAAGAACGAAGCUUUGCUCGUAUAUUGCGCGUGUGGUGUCGAGAUGAAGAGUAAAGUUGCCUUUUUUUUGCUGAAGAUGAAUCGUGAAUGCCUUGAAUCGUUUCAGUGAGUUCUCCUCCUUCGACUUGCAAUGCUUCUAUUUCUAUAAUCUCUUUCUUUCUUAAAUUUUCUGUUUCCAUUGAGUUUGUUUUGUUGGUUCUAUGAUGAGGGUCAAUUUGGUUAUGAGGGUGGUUGAAAAUUUGGUUCUGUUCCAAGGUUCUGUUAGAAGAUUUUUGCAGGGGGAUGGCAAGGGAGAAGGUGAGGGAGAAGGUUAUGGAGGAUGGAGAGUGAAGUUGGAAUGAGGGUGGAGAAGAUGGAUGAGUGAAGUUGGAAUGAGGGUGGAGAAGAUGGAUGAGUGAAGUUGGAAUGAGGGUGAAGAAGAUGAUGGAGAGAGUGAAGGUGGUUUUUGAAGAAUGAGGAGGGUUCUGUUAUUACUGUUGAAAGAGAUCCCCUAGAAGUGAUUGGGAAAUUCUGUUAUAUCAGUUUGGGUUAGUUAGGAGGUUGGGAAUUGGUUGUUAGAAUUCUGUUAGCGAUUUGUUGAAGUUUGUUGGCGGAUCGGUUAGGGAGAGUUUGAGGAAUUCAGUUAGUUGGACAGUUGGGAAGGGCUUAAGAUUUGGUUGAAGGUUAGAAGGGUCUUGAAGAGGUUUGUCGAGAGUUCGUCGAAUAAAAUUACUGUUCUAUUAUGCUUCAUGUUUUUUUCUAUUAUGCUAUGACUCUGUUAUUUCUGUUUAUUUGCAGGUCAUGUGGGAAUGCAUUUUGGUGGUUGUAUGUAUAUAAAUGAGGUAUGCAAGUUGCCAUUGUUUGGAAUUUUGGUUUUGGAAUGCUUUGAAGCUAUUUUGGAGUUUGGCUUCAAAUAGAUUUGUUCAUGGCAUUGGACUCAUGUAGGAUUGUAUUGUGAAUUUGGAAUGAUGAUUGUAAUCUUUUGUAGUUUUGGAGUUAAAUUGAAUGAUUGAAAAAAAAAUGCUUAGAAAUUGAAUGUAAUUCGAAUUGAUAUUGAAUGUAUGGAAUAUUAAAUUGGAAUUGAAAUGAUUUAUGUUUAUGCAA